GAACGCUGGCGGCGUGCCUAAUACCUGCAAGUCGAGCGAACAGACGAGGAGCUUGCUCCUCUGACGUUAGCGGCGGACGGGUGAGUAACACGUGGAUAACCUACCUAUAAGACUGGGAUAACUUCGGGAAACCGGAGCUAAUACCGGAUAAUAUAUUGAACCGCAUGGUUCAAUAGUGAAAGACGGUUUUGCUUUCACUUAUAGAUGGAUCCGCGCCGCAUUAGCUAGUUGGUAAGGUAACGGCUUACCAAGGCGACGAUGCGUAGCCGACCUGAGAGGGUGAUCAGCCACACUGGAACUGAGACACGGUCCAGACUCCUACGGGAGGCAGCAGUAGGGAAUCUUCCGCAAAGGGCGAAAGCCUGACGGAGCAACGCCGCGUGAGUGAUGAAGGUCUUCGGAUCGUAAAACUCUGUUAUUAGGGAAGAACAAAUGUGUAAGUAACUAUGCACGUCUUGACGGUACCUAAUCAGAAAGCCACGGCUAACUACGUG
rnacentral:rRNA from 1 species